GCCACGCCACGCCCCUUUCCCGCUCCUCCUCGCUGAAGUGCGGUGACCCGGCGCCGUGACCCACCCGGACCAGGGCUGCGGGGCGGCAGUGCGCAAUGAGCAAGGUACUGUGAAAUACCUGCUGAGCUCCUGCCAAAAAUUUUGCUUUUCCUACUGAAAAAGUUGAAAGCUGCCUGCUGUAUCAAGAUGGUAACUUAACAGCCUCCUUGCUGUCAGCUGUACUUCAGGUUUGACGUUUCAUCAGGUACUAUUCAUUGGUUCCAGCUGUUAACCUGGACAAAGCCACCUCGAAUGUGCUCUUGCAGAAUAAAAAUCCAGCUCAACAGCAGCCUAUGCAAGUCUCCCUCUGAUCAACAUUUUUGAGAAAUUUCCUUGAAAAAGACAUAAAAAGCCUCUAUUCAGCAUAUAUGAACUGUGACUUCUUUUAGAGGUUGAACAGUAUUUUGAAAGUGUGCUAUGUUAAAAUGGCUUUUUUUUUCAGAGGCAGCUUAUGUCAAAUAAUUGCAUUAAAAAAUUCCCCAGCACAAAUUUCAAGGCCUUCCAAGCAGGCCUAUCUCAAACUAAAACUUGUACAAAUUUGUUAAUGAGGGCAAGCCAAAAUAGUGUCUUUUAGCCCCGUUCUUUGAAAUGCCUAAAUGUUCUGCAUGAAGUCAAAACAAAAGUGAUUGACACAAACAUGGAAAAUUUUAGUACAUGUUGUAGAAAAAGAGGUACCAGCUGAGUUUUAAUCAUGCUUUAAUUACCUUUUCAUUUAUAUGUAGUUGUGUCAUCUCAAUUCCAAUGCCUUCCAGCCAUUAAAUUCCAUUCUUGCCUGUGGUUCCUAGGCUUUCUUAGAUGUAUAGUAUGAAGUGGCAUUGGUUCCACUCAGUUGUUCUUCAUUAUCCGUUAGAAACUGAAAGUUGUUCCCAAAGAAAAAUGAAGGUCAAAUUGUUUAAUUAAAAGAAGACUUGAUUUUUAUUUUUUAAACAGAGAUGGAGACCGAGAGCAGCCUGCAAGACAUUUUGAGCUCCAAAGAGUUUCAGUUUAAUCUAGUUUAGAUUUAAUUUAGUUUUAAUUGCCCUGAAUACCAAACUUAUCUUACAAGUCUAGAAAAUACUUGAUUUUAGUUCUUGUCUCUUCUAGCUUCCUAACAUUACAUUUCUCUAGCUCUCUUUCAUCAAAUAAAUCUCACAUGAGCUCUCUGUAGUUCAGGUAUUUGUAUUCCUCGUGCUUUCAUUGAAUUUAUUUAUUUGGCAUCUGUGAUUCUCUUUUAUGCCUAAGAUAGGGCACAAUAUUUGUCACUUCAGCCAAACUGAAAAGAUACUAUCAGAACUUGAACUUGCAAAUAUUGUUGGAUCCUGUGUGCUAUUUGGGAAGAAAUGUAUGGUAUCUCCUCUCUCUUCUAAUGGUUGUUUCUGUCCUUUAUAGAUUAUGACAUCUCCACCAGUCCCACCUGAAAACGUUAUUAAUUGUAUUUUUUUAAGAAAAGCAUUUCUGGUAUCUCUUUGUUGUGCUGUACACCUUAAUUAGCCUAAAAUGUCAAGGUGCCAAGAUGUUAGUUUGCAUGUCAAUUGCUCUUUACUACUGUAGCAGAAAAAAAUAAAAUUCAGUUUCUACAGCAACAAGAGUAUGAUUUUAGUAGUAUUUACUUGUUGUAUGGUUCUAACAUUUACAUUUUUAAUAUAAUAUGUAAAUAAGUGUAAAUAAUACAACAGUUGGGCUUUUCUAACCAAUGUGUUGAAGGGCUGCAUUUCUGAAAAUGCGUGUUGGACCUUUCUUUGUAUGGUUCAGUAAAACAUACUCCCUUUUGCUUGCCUUCUUUCAGGGGAGGAAAUCGAAAAGGAUAAUGCAAACCAUAAAAGAUUUGCACACUAUCAUCCAUUGCAAAGGGUGAUGUGUCAAUGGUACUUUGCCAUGGAGGUAUUUUUUUGUAAAAAGAAGAUGAAAGACAUACAGAUGUUUGAUGAAACUGUUAAUGAAAAAGAAUGAUGCUUGAAACAGUUGAUAAAACAACUGCCAAAGGGGAAUGUCCUAUUGAUGGAUGGUUUGUCUCUUUCAAGUAAGCUAUAUUGCAGGUAAUAAAUACUGGCAAACAGUAAUGGCCAUCUAAACAAAAGGUUUAGAAGCCACCAUACCUCUGAUAACCUUAGCAGCAA